GACGAACGCUGGCGGCGUGCUUAACACAUGCAAGUCGAACGAUGAAGCCGGAGCUUGCUCUGGUGAAUUAGUGGCGAACGGGUGAGUAACACGUGAGUAACCUGCCCUUGACUCUGGGAUAACUGCGGGAAACGGUAGCUAAUACCGGAUACGACCCUCGGCGGCAUCGCCAGGGGGUGGAAAGAAUUUCGGUAAAGGAUGGACUCGCGGCCUAUCAGCUAGUUGGUGAGGUACCGGCUCAACAAGGCGACGAAGGGUAGCCGGCCUGAGAGGGUGACCGGCCACACUGGGACUGAGACACGGCCCAGACUCCUACGGGAGGCAGCAGUGGGGAAUAUUGCACAAUGGGCGCAAGCCUGAUGCAGCAACGCCGCGUGAGGGAUGACGGCCUUCGGGUUGUAAACCUCUUUUAGUAGGGAAGAAGCGAAAGUGACGGUACCUGCAGAAAAAGCACCGGCUAACUACGUGCCAGCCGCCGCAGUAA
rnacentral:rRNA from 1 species